CACCGCCUGGGGAGUACGACCGCAAGGUUAAAACUCAAAUGAAUUGACGGGGACCCGCACAAGUAGUGGAGCAUGUGGUUUAAUUCGAAGAUACGCGCAGAACCUUACCAACACUUGACAUGUUCGUCGCGACUUUAAGAGAUUAAAGUUUUCGGUUCGGCCGGACGAAACACAGGUGCUGCAUGGCUGUCGUCAGCUCGUGUCGUGAGAUGUUGGGUUAAGUCCCGCAACGAGCGCAACCCUCACUUUUAGUUGCCAUCAUUUAGUUGGGCACUCUGAAAGAACUGCCAGUGAUAAGCUGGAGGAAGGUGGGGAUGACGUCAAGUCCUCAUGGCCCUUACGUGUUGGGCUACACACGUGCUACAAUGGCAUUUACAAUAGGAAGCAAGGUGGCGACAUCAAGCAAAUCCUAAAAAAAUGCCUCAGUUCGGAUUGUACUCUGCAACUCGAGUGCAUGAAGCUGGAAUUACUAGUAAUCGUGGAUCAGCGUGCCACGGUGAAUGCGUUCCCGGGUCUUGUACACACCGCCCGUCACACCAUGGGAGUUGGUUCUACCUUAAGGCAAGGUUUAAAACCCUUGACCACGGUAUAGUCAGCGACUGGGGUGAAGUCGUAACAAGGUAGCCGUAGGGGAACCUGCGGCUGGAUUACCUCCUUUCUAAGGAUGAGUGAAACUAAAUUUCAUUCUAAAUAAUACACAGGCAAUGUUGACCGUCCUCAUUUCUCUUCUUAAAAGUGUUUCUCUUGCAUGGGGGCCGGUAGCUCAGUUGGUUAGAGCACACCCUUGAUAAAGGGUGGGGUCGAAAGUUCGAGUCUUUCUCGGCCCACCAAUUAUUAAUUAAAGGGGAUUAGCUCAGCUGGGAGAGCGCCUGAUUUGCAUUCAGAGGUCAGCGGUUCGAUCCCGCUAUCCUCCACCAACACUUAGUUAUAAAAAUUGUGAAUAAAAAAAUUAUAUCAUAUCUAUAUCCGACAUAGAAGUGUAUACUAAUGUCAAACAAAAUUUGAUCACACAGAAUUUUUUUCUG
rnacentral:sRNA from 1 species